rnacentral:rRNA from 1 species
UACCAGCUCUCCGAGUGGUAGGGAUGUUUAUUGGGCUUAAAGCGUCCGUAGCCGGCUUAGCAAGUCUCCUGUUAAAUUCAGCGACCUAAUCGUUGAGCCGCGGGAGAUACUACUAGGCUAGGAGGCGGGAGAGGUCAACGGUACUUCCGGGGUAGGGGUGAAAUCCUAUAAUCCCGGGAGGACCACCAGUGGCGAAGGCUGUUGACUAGAACGCGCUCGACGGUGAGGGACGAAAGCUGGGGGAGCGAACCGGAUUAGAUACCCGGGUAGUCCCAGCUGUAAACGAUGCGAGCUAGGUGUUGGGGUGGCUACGUGCCACUUCAGUGCCGCAGGGAAGCCAUUAAGCUCGCCGCCUGGGGAGUACGGCCGCAAGGCUGAAACUUAAAGGAAUUGGCGGGGGAGCGACCACAAGGCGUGAAGCUUGCGGUUC